GGACGAACGCUGGCGGCGUGCCUAACACAUGCAAGUCGAGCGAUGAAGCCGUUCGGGUGGAGUUAGCGGCGGACGGGUGAGUAACACGUGGGUAACCUGCCUCAAAGAGGGGGAUAGACCGUCCCGAAAGGGAGAUUAAUACCGCAUAACAUUAUUUCUUCGCAUGAAGAGAUAAUCAAAGGAGUAAUCCGCUUUGAGAUGGACCCGCGGCGCAUUAGCUAGUUGGUGAGGUAAUGGCUCACCAAGGCGACGAUGCGUAGCCGACCUGAGAGGGUGAUCGGCCACAUUGGAACUGAGAUACGGUCCAGACUCCUACGGGAGGCAGCAGUGGGGAAUAUUGCGCAAUGGGGAAACCCUGACGCCAGCAACGCCGCGUGGGUGAAGAAGGCCUUCGGGUUGUAAAGCUCUGUCUUCUGGGACGAUAAUGACGGUACCAGAGGAGGAAGCCACGGCUAACUACGUGCCAGCCGCAGC
rnacentral:rRNA from 1 species